rnacentral:rRNA from 1 species
GUAGGGAAUCUUCGGCAAUGGGGGCAACCCUGACCGAGCAACGCCGCGUGAGUGAAGAAGGUUUUCGGAUCGUAAAGCUCUGUUGUAAGAGAAGAACGUGUGUGAGAGUGGAAAGUUCACACAGUGACGGUAACUUACCAGAAAGGGACGGCUAACUACGUGCCAG